rnacentral:lncRNA from 1 species
CGUUAGUAGACAUAUAAAAAUUGAUAUGGGUUUUGUAAAUAAUAAUAAAUGAUAACGAUUAAAUGAGUCACUUUUUUGUCUGUUCAUGUGUUGCUUUCUCAUUUGCAGAUUGCUGGCUGAAAUAGAAGAAUGUUGGAAACAGUUGUUUCUGUUCAUUUUCUAAUUACAGAACAUCUGUUCUCUUCCCUUUCAGUUGUAUCCCAUCCCAAAGGUUUGAUUUCAGAACCGUUGUAGCCAUUCUCAGAACAUGGAAGAGUAGCAUUUCAACAAGCCAGCAUCAGCCAUUUCAGUUCUAUCCCCUUCUUGUUUUCAGCCACCGCACCAGCCAAGAUUUAUUUUAAGUACCCUUUGCCUCGCUGUGUCCUCCCUUGUUCUUUUCAAGCUGCAGCCAUGAGAGAGUUUGAAAGAGCUGACUGGACCGAAAUCUGCUGGUGGUGGAAUGCAGCUAUCUAUGGAAAUACUCUCUGUUCUGAAUACUGGAUGAUGAGACUGAUGAGUGCCUAG